rnacentral:rRNA from 1 species
GACAGAGGUCCCAAGCGUUAGGCGGAAUCACUGGGCUUAAAGCGUGUGUAGGCGGAUCCGUAAGUACCUUGUGAAAUCCCACGGCUCAACCGUGGAACUGCUGGGUAUACUGCGGGUCUUGAGCCACCUAGGGGCGAGCGGAACAAGUGGUGGAGCGGUGAAAUGCGCAGAUAUCAGGAAGAACACCAAUGGCGAAGGCAGCUCUCUGGGACGGUACUGACACUGAGACGCGAAAGCGUGGGGAGCGAACAGG